CCGUCCAGCCUUCAGCGGUUGCUCCCUUUGCCAAAACCGUGGUAGGGAGCUCGGGGGCGGACGCAGAGAAAACUUCUCUUAAUUUAGGAGGGCUUCUGUGGAGCGUUGGGAUGCCUUCAAAGGCGCAAGAGGACAUU